rnacentral:rRNA from 1 species
GACGAACGCUGGCGGCGUGCCUAAGGCAUGCAAGUCGAACGAGAUCCAUCUGUGCUUGCACAGGGAAGAUCUAGUGGCGAACGGGUGAGGAACACGUGAGAAACCUGCCCUCGAGAGGGGAAUAACAACGGGAAACCGUUGCUAAUGCCUCAUAUUGUUAACUGAUCGCAUGGUUUGUUAAUGAAAUGAAUUUCGCUCGAGGAUGGUCUCGCUUCUUACAGC